rnacentral:rRNA from 1 species
GGGAUGACGUCAAGUCCUCAUGGCCCUUAUAGUGGGCUACACACGUCAUACAAUGGCCGGUACAGAGGGUAGCCAACCCGCAGGGGGAGCCAAUCCCACAAAGCCGGUCGUAGUCCGGAUCGCAGUCUGCAACUCGACUGCGUGAAGUCGGAAUCGCUAGUAAUCGCGGAUCAGCAUGUCGCGGUGAAUACGUUCCCGGGUCUU